UGGGGAAUAUUGCACAAUGGGGGAAACCCUGAUGCAGCGACGCCGCGUGAGCGAAGAAGGCCUUCGGGUCGUAAAGCUCUUUUAUGAGGGAAGAUAAUGACGGUACCUCAAGAAAAAGCCCCGGCUAACUACGUGCCAGCAGCCGCGGUAAUACGUAGGGGGCUAGCGUUGUCCGGAAUCACUGGGCGUAAAGGGUUCGCAGGCGGAAUAACAAGUCAGGUGUAAAAGGCAGUAGCUUAACUACUGUAAGCAUUUGAAACUGCAUAUCUUGAGAAGAGUAGAGGUAAGUGGAAUUUUUAGUGUAGCGGUGAAAUGCGUAGAUAUUAAAAAGAAUACCGGUGGCGAAGGCGACUUACUGGGCUCAUUCUGACGCUGAGGAACGAAAGCGUGGGUAGCAAACAGG
rnacentral:rRNA from 1 species